rnacentral:rRNA from 1 species
CCCUUAGAUGUCCUGGGCCGCACGCGCGCUACACUGAACGGAUCAGCGCGUUUUCCCUUCCCGAGAGGGACGGGUAACCUGCUGAACCCCGUUCGUGGUAGGGAUCGGGGCUUGCAAUUAUUCCCCGUGAACCAGGAAUGCCCAGUAAGUGCAAGUCAUAAGCUUGCGUUGAUUACGUCCCUGCCCUUUGUACACACCGCCCGUCGCUACUACCGAUUGAACGUUUUAGUGAGGUACUCGGACUGAGCCUCAGAAGAUUCACGUCUUUUGUGCUGCUCGGGAAGAUUCCCAAACUUGAGCGUUUAGAGGAAGUAAAAGUCGUNACA